GGUUAAGCGACUAAGCGUACACGGUGGAUGCCCUGGCAGUCAGAGGCGAUGAAGGGCGUGCUAAUCUGCGAUAAGCGCCGGUAAG
rnacentral:rRNA from 2 species